AGGGGCAUAGUUUAAUGGUAGAACGGAGGUCUCCAAAACCUUUGGUGGGAGUUCGAUUCUCUCUGCCCCUG
rnacentral:tRNA from 1 species